rnacentral:rRNA from 1 species
GACGAACGCUGGCGGCGUGCUUAACACAUGCAAGUCGAACGGAAAGGCCCUGCUUUUGUGGGGUGCUCGAGUGGCGAACGGGUGAGUAACACGUGAGUAACCUGCCCUUGACUUUGGGAUAACUUCAGGAAACUGGGGCUAAUACCGGAUAGGAGCUCCUGCUGCAUGGUGGGGGUUGGAAAGUUUCGGCGGUUGGGGAUGGACUCGCGGCUUAUCAGCUUGUUGGUGGGGUAGUGGCUUACCAAGGCUUUGACGGGUAGCCGGCCUGAGAGGGUGACCGGCCACAUUGGGACUGAGAUACGGCCCAGACUCCUACGGGAGGCAGCAGUGGGGAAUAUUGCACAAUGGGCGGAAGCCUGAUGCAGCAACGCCGCGUGCGGGAUGACGGCCUUCGGGUUGUAAACCGCUUUCGCCUGUGACGAAGCGUGAGUGACGGUAAUGGGUAAAGAAGCACCGGCUAGCUACGUGCCAGCAGCCGCGGUGAUACGUAGGGUGCGAGCGUUGUCCGGAUUUAUUGGGCGUAAAGGGCUCGUAGGUGGUUGAUCGCGUCGGAAGUGUAAUCUUGGGGCUUAACCCUGAGCGUGCUUUCGAUACGGGUUGACUUGAGGAAGGUAGGGGAGAAUGGAAUUCCUGGUGGAGCGGUGGAAUGCGCAGAUAUCAGGAGGAACACCAGUGGCGAAGGCGGUUCUCUGGGCCUUUCCUGACGCUGAGGAGCGGAAGCGUGGGGAGCGAACAGGCUUAGAUACCCCGGUAGUCCACGCUGUAAACGGUGGGUACUAGGUGUGGGGUCCAUUCCACGGGUUCCGUGCCGUAGCUAACGCUUUAAGUACCCCGCCUGGGGAGUACGGCCGCAAGGCUAAAACUCAAAGGAAUUGACGGGGCCCCGCACAAGCGGCGGAGCAUGCGGAUUAAUUCGAUGCAACGCGUAGAACCUUACCUGGGUUUGACAUGGAUCGGGAGUGCUCAGAGAUGGGUGUGCCUCUUUUGGGGUCGGUUCACAGGUGGUGCAUGGCUGUCGUCAGCUCGUGUCGUGAGAUGUUGGGUUAAGUCCCGCAACGAGCGCAACCCUUGUUCACUGUUGCCAGCACGUUAUGGUGGGGACUCAGUGGAGACCGCCGGGGUCAACUCGGAGGAAGGUGGGGAUGACGUCAAGUCAUCAUGCCCCUUAUGUCCAGGGCUUCACGCAUGCUACAAUGGCUGGUACAGAGAGUGGCGAGCCUGUGAGGGUGAGCGAAUCUCGGAAAGCCGGUCUCAGUUCGGAUUGGGGUCUGCAACUCGACCUCAUGAAGUCGGAGUCGCUAGUAAUCGCAGAUCAGCAACGCUGCGGUGAAUACGUUCCCGGGGCU